rnacentral:rRNA from 1 species
CUAGUUGGUGGGGUAAAGGCCUACCAAGGCAUCGAUCAGUAGCUGGUCUGAGAGGACGACCAGCCACACUGGAACUGAGACACGGUCCAGACUCCUACGGGAGGCAGCAGUGGGGAAUUUUGGACAAUGGGCGCAAGCCUGAUCCAGCAAUGCCGCGUGAGUGAAGAAGGCCUUCGGGUUGUAAAGCUCUUUUGUCAGGGAAGAAACGGUGCGGGCUAAUAUCCUGCACUAAUGACGGUACCUGAAGAAUAAGCACCGGCUAACUACGUGCCAGCAGCCGCGGUAAUACGUAGGGUGCAAGCGUUAAUCGGAAUUACUGGGCGUAAAGCGUGCGCAGGCGGUUUUGUAAGUCUGUCGUGAAAUCCCCGGGCUCAACCUGGGAAUUGCGAUGGAGACUGCAAGGCUAGAAUCUGGCAGAGGGGGGUAGAAUUCCACGUGUAGCAGUGAAAUGCGUAGAGAUGUGGAGGAACACCGAUGGCGAAGGCAGCCCCCUGGGUCAAGAUUGACGCUCAUGCACGAAAGCGUGGGGAGCAAACAGGAUUAGAUACCCUGGUAGUCCACGCCCUAAACGAUGUCUACUAGUUGUCGGGUUUUAAUUAACUUGGUAACGCAGCUAACGCGUGAAGUAGACCGCCUGGGGAGUACGGUCGCAAGAUUAAAACUCAAAGGAAUUGACG